UGAGGUGGGAUCCCGGGCCCCUCGAGGCCCGGGCGCACCACCGGCCCGUCUCGCCCGCACCGUCGGGGAGGUGGAGCGUGAGCGCGUGCGAUAGGACCCGAAAGAUGGUGAACUAUGCCUGGGCAGGGC
rnacentral:rRNA from 1 species